UCAACCAAUACAACCAACUAAUCAUUCCAAGCUUCGAUGAACGACACGCAGGAAACUACUCAUGCGUUGUAUACUCUGGGGACAGGGAAUUAUGCAUAAGAUCAGAGGCCAGUAUAACUUUCGACCCCCGAAGCUACUUCGAGUUCGUUCCCGUGAAUGCGUAUGUCAAUAUCAGUGACGGUCAUCAGUUCCAGUGCUCCCCCAAAGAAAACACAUGGAGUGUCAUCUGGGAGAAGGAUGGGCAACCGCUGGAACAAGGAAACCUGCUCAUCGUUGGAGGAAACUUAUAUCUGACAGAUAUAAGGGAUGAAAAUGUAGGAAAGUACACUUGCGUUGCUCGUGACCAGUUCAAGCGAACCAAGGGUCGAGUACAUGCCUGGCUUUAUUUGACUGAUCCACCUCAGGUUGACAUUA